CUCAACCUGGGAACUGCAUUGGUGACUGGCAGGCUAGAGUAUGGCAGAGGGGGGUAGAAUUCCACGUGUAGCAGUGAAAUGCGUAGAGAUGUGGAGGAAUACCGAUGGCGAAGGCAGCCCCCUGGGCCAAUACUGACGCUCAUGCACGAAAGCGUGGGGAGCAAACAGGAUUAGAUACCCUGGUAGUCCACGCCCUAAACGAUGUCAACUAGUUGUUGGGGAUUCAUUUCCUUAGUAACGUAGCUAACGCGUGAAGUUGACCGCCUGGGGAGUACGGUCGCAAGAUUAAAACUCAAAGGAAUUGACGGGGACCCGCACAAGCGGUGGAUGAUGUGGAUUAAUUCGAUGCAACGCGAAAAACCUUACCUACCCUUGACAUGGUCGGAAUCCUGCUGAGAGGUGGGAGUGCUCGAAAGAGAAUCG
rnacentral:rRNA from 1 species